AUACUUACCUGACAGGGGAGAUACCAUGAUCAUGAAGGUGGUUUUCCCAGGGCAAGUCUUAUCCAUUGUACUCCAGAUGUGCUGAUCCCUUUGAUAUCCCCAAAUGUGGGAAACUCUACUGCAUAAUUUUCGGUAGUGGGGGCCUGUGUUUGCACUUUCCCCUG